AGCAAGUAUUUUGAAUUGGAAAAAAAAAAAAAAAAGGAAAUAUCUCAGUUCUCAUAGGUAACUAUGGUUAUUCACUGAAGUUUCCUUCUCAUAGGUUUUGAGGUGUGAAAGCUGUGCAUGGCUGUCUGGAGCAUGGUUUGACGCUGUUGCUACUGCAGAAGUGCACCACCCAUUGCUUCACGCACUGACAUCCACUGUUUGAUUUCCAUAAACAUUCAGUAAACAUUAGUGAAUGUCAAUGGGUGCCAUUAUUCCAAGUCAGACUGCCUCUCUGCUGCCACCUGUUACAUGACAGCAGCCUGUAAUAGAAUACCGGCAGGUAGGUUCAAUCUCUACUGCCGUACCAAUAACUUCUGUGCCUGACAUCAUGGGCCAACAUAAUAACACAGGAGGUGUUACUUUCAGAGAAGCUCUUAUAGUAGAUUUGAGAUUCAUCUCACCUAACUUUCAACAUCUACAGUAUCUCAGUUAGAUGGCCUUUAUAGUCAAAAGAAAGAAAGAGACAUUUUUAAUGUGUGGCUCAUGUGACCUGUUUCUAAUGUCUACUUUAGGAAUAGAUGAGACAUGUCAUACAAGUAACUAUUUCUAUCCAUUAAUUACAAAUAAAGCCUAGAGGGACUAGAUCAAAUGUAAACUUACUGUGUUUGUAUUUAUUCAAAUUAAGAAUCUCAAUUUAGUGAUUCAAAUUAAUUAAAGGCAUUCACUUCUUUGCGGAGCAGGCAUACAAGUCAUAUUUAUCAUGUAAUCCUUAACUUGAGAAUAUAUUUUUUUCUUAUAUAAUGGUGAUUGGAGUUUGUAUAUUUCCCCACAAAUAAUCAAUACCUUCUGAGAUAGCAUACUGUUGCGGAAAGAUUGAGAAAGAGAGUGACAGGAUAAGACAAAUGAACAAUUGUAGUAGGAAUUGCAUGAAAUCCAAAGUGUUAUUUAUAUUGAAAUCCCCUAAACAAAAUAAAAACAAAGCUGAAAUAAUUUCCAGUGACACUUACUAAAACAAACAGUCCAACAAAUAGAAAAAAAAAUAGAAAAAUUCUCUGAUAAUUUAUUUUCUUAGACCAGGUUUGCCCUUAAAAAAAUUUGCUGACAUUGCUGGGCUGAGGAAGGGUGAGAUAUUUUCACCAACAUGACUGACAUAAAUAUGAUAGCAGCUCUCUGGAUGUAUAAAUGCUUACAAAACAGAGAAAAGAAGAAAGAAAAAAAAAGUCAUUUUGCAAGUACAGCCUAUUCUUUUCCAGGAAUAAAACACCUGCUACCUCCAUAGUUAAGAUUUGCUAGUGUAACUGUAGCGUACAGCUUUAUCAGCAAACCCCUUUAAAUCUAUUGAAGACCUUCCUGGCCUUUGGAAGAAUCUGACCUUAUAUUCUUGAUUUUGUUAACCUCAUGAAUUAUCUCCAGUGAACAACUUUCUUCUUAAGUGAACACUUGAAAAAUAUCCCCAUGUGAUCUUCAGACCGAGUUCAUUUGACCUUUUUUGAAGACCUUUUUUUUUCUAUACAAUCAAUUUACACUGGUCUCUGGAGUGGUCACUUAUCAGAUAUGUAUAUUCAUUCAGUAAAGAUGUACUGAAUAUGUGCCAGAUUUUUCUGACUUCCUCUUCUCAUUUGUGAUGAACAGUAUGAACUCACUUUCUGACAUAUUGUGUUUUGUCAUUGUGAAU
ensembl:lncRNA